rnacentral:lncRNA from 1 species
UCCCUGUUCUUGAAAGCCAAAGCUCCUCUUCAACCGGCAGCGAUUCAGACGGCCAUCGCCAAGUUCCCCAGCAAAGCAUCAUCCUUCCUCCUAACAGCACCAUUGCUGCCGUAGCUGAUGCCCUGGAGAAGAAUGCUCAUAAUUGGUACGGUACAAACAAACAAGUAGUAACACUACUAAACUUAAAAAGCUCCCUUUUUUACUGUGAUCUACAUAGUUCAUUCAUACUAUUGUGUCUUUUUGUUUAAUGAUCCAAACCUGUGCAGGCCUAUAACUCCCCAACUCCCAACAGAUCUAUCGGUUCAAAUCCAAGAUGCUACUUUCACUGUUCACAAGGUACUUCCCUCUCAAACUAUAAAGAGUUAGCAGCAAAUCACAGGCUAUGUAUUUAUGGGUAAAGCUUCAGUACAUGCGGGUACUCAGUACUCUAUAUCAUACUUUUAACAUAUUUCGUGCUUAAAAUUAACAGUAUAGUUUAGUGUUUAGAGUUUAGUACCCGCAUGUACCGGAGCGCUUGCCAUGUAUUCAUACCCAGCAUUUGUAUAUCUCAGUUCCUACAAUCAUAUAACUAGGAUCAAUACUUAGAUCAUGAUUUUGAACAGAGUAACCAAAUUUAGGACAGGUUAUUUAGCCCUUAUCCUCCUGUGUGGCUUAACAUAUUAGAUCAUGAAUCAAAACUUGGACUUGAGCAGUUCAUGAAGAAAAAAAAAUUAAUGCUUGAGCAAUCUGUGGUCUGCUACAGUUACCUUUGGUGUCGAAAUGCGGCUACAUAGCACAUUUGGAACUCCAGCCUUCAAUUUCAAACUUCAGCUAUGAAGUGAAGCUGGAAAACUUCCCAGGAGGAUCAGAGACAUUCGAAGCCGUCUUGAGAUUCUGCUACGGCCUCCCUCUAGAUUUAAACCCUCAGAACAUAGCUCCACUAAGAUGCGCAUCAGAGUACCUGGAGAUGAGUGAAGAUCUUGAAGACGGAAAUCUCAUCACAAAGACAGAAGCUUUCCUUACAUUCGUCAUUCUCUCUUCAUGGAAAGACACAAUCACCAUCCUUAAAUCCUGCGAAACGUUAUCCCCGUGGGCAGAGAAUCUUCAAAUCGUCAGAAGAUGCUGCGACUCCAUAACUUGGAAGGCUUCAAGAGAAAAUGGUGCAGCUAGUGAUCAAGAUUCAGCAUGGUGGCUGGAUGAUUUUGCCACCCUGCAUAUCAACCAUUUCGCGAGGAUUAUAACAGCGAUAAAGGCAAAAGGAACGAAACCGGAAAUCGUUGGAAAGUGUAUAAUGCGGCAUGCAUCGAAAUGGUUGACCGGGGUGGAUGAGGAACUAAGAGGCAAUGGUGAGUUGCAGUUCAGUGUAUUGUGUGGGAGAAAAAAGGAAGAUGCGUAUAUUCGAUAUAAAGAGCAGCAAACGACGAUUAUCGAGAACCUAAUAAGCUUAUUGCCACCUCAACAAGAAGCUGUGCCAUGUAGGUUCUUAUUGCAGAUGUUGAAUAUGGCUAAUGUUUAUUCUGCAUCGCAAGCUUUGAUCACGCAGCUAGAGAAGAGAGUAGGGAUUAUACUAGACAAGGCAACUGUGAAUGAUCUUUUGAUCCCUAAUUACAAAACUACAGAUCGAGGGAAGCUACUAAAGUAUGUAUAACCCCAACUGUUUUUCUCUGUUCUCUAGAUUCCUAGUUGAUUGCAUUGUAGGUUUAAUUUGGCAGGUGGAAAGUUGGAUAGAAUUUAAGAUUUAAUUUGGCAAUAACGAAUCAUAAUUCUUAAGAAGUUGAGUUGAGACUAGUGUAAGGAAGUUAAGUUGGAGUACAAAGGGACUAUGGAAGGGAAUUUGAAUAAAGAGAUAUAAGGAUUUUCGAGUGAAACUGUGUUUCUUAAUCUACUCCAGGGAAAUUUUUAAACGUUGUAAGGAAUCCUUUAUAUCCCUUAAUUUAACUUCUUUUCACAACCCCUCUCAACCUCAACUCAACUGUUUUCUAUUAUCUUAACUCAACUUUUCUAGAAAUUAGGAUUCUUGUUGCCAAAUCAAACCUUAGAUGGCAAUAGGAAAGUUUGCUUUCCAAAAUCACUUCGUUGAGAUCUAACUUUUCCAUCUCAUUGCCUGAAAAUGCUCAAAAUUCCAUCCAACUUUCCAACUUCCAAACCAAGCCGUAUAUAAACAGCAUCCAUAAUUGACAUUGCGUUUUUUUGGUACAGGUCACCUGAGCAAAGCACGAUGCAUGAUAUAGACACAGUACAAAGAAUUGUGGACUACUUUCUGAUGCAUGAACAGGAUCAGCAGCAAAUGCAAUCAAUACCAGGGAAAGCAAAUGUUAGCAAGCUUCUGGACAAUUAUCUAGCUGAAAUUGCCAAGGAUCCAAAUGUAUCUGUGACCAAAUUUCAGGUUUUGGCUGAAGCACUGCCGGAAAGUGCUAGAACUUGUCAUGAUGGUCUAUACAGGGCCAUUGACAUCUAUCUCAAGGUUACCUUUUUUAACUCACUCUUUCAAUUCCUUAUAGUUGGAACAAAAAUAUUCAAGGACUAAAACGAAAUAUUUUUAUCUUAUUUGACAGACUCAUUUUUCGCUAUCAGAACAUGAUCGGAAAAGGGUUUGCAGAUUAAUGAACUGCGAGAAACUAUCCCUAGAUGCAUGCAUGCAUGCAGCACAAAAUGAUAGGCUGCCAGUAAGAACUGUAAUUCAGGUAAGAGAAUUUUCCUAGUUGCAUUGGUUUGGAAGUAAAGUUCUCAGCAAAUUAACAGAAGGCAGCUCUUGCAGGUGUUGUUUACUGAGCAGGUGAAAUUGAGGGCAGCAAUGCAGAUAAAAGAUACACCAGGGAGUGGCAAUAUUUCGGAACAGGAGGUAGUACACCAAACAGAAACAAAAUCAGAGAUCAUGAUGCUUAAAGCGGAGUUGGAGAAUGUAAAGACAAGGAUGGCAGAGCUGCAAAAAGACUACUUGGAACUGCAGCAUGAGUAUGCCAAGUUAAACAACAAGCACAAACAUACAUUAGCUUGGGGUUGGAAGAAGAUUAGGACAUCCACUCUCUUCCACCGAAAAGCUGACGAGAUUGAAAUAGAAGAAGGAAGGCAAAGAUCCAAUUCCACAAGCCAAAAAGUCAAGUCCGGAAAAGUCACUUGGAACUGCAGCAUGAGUAUGCCAAGUUAAACAACAAGCACAAACAUACAUUAGCUUGGGGUUGGAAGAAGAUUAGGACAUCCACUCUCUUCCACCGAAAAGCCGACGAGGUCGAAACAGAAGAAGGAAGGCAAAGAUCCAAUUCCACAAGCCAAAAAGUCAAGUCCGGAAAAGUCGACGGAGUAGAAAAUGAGGAAGGAAGGCAAAGAUCCAAUUCUACAAGCCAAAAACUCAACUCGAGAAGAAGAAUGUCUGUAUAAUAGAAAUUGGAAGCAACAUAUCAAACUAGCAGAAAAUGCAGAAUGAUUGAACGACCAGAUUCUUUAUAGUUAGUUAUUGUAUGAUGUCUAAUGGCUAUAUCUUCUUUUUCAGGUGAAUAAUAUGACCAGUAAGAAUCCUUGCAGGUAUGAAUAUGUUCAAUGUUAAGCAGUAAUCAACUCAUGCUGAUAGUUUAGUUUUGUACAAGUGAUGUAUACUAGGUUUAUGGUGACUGGGGGAUGCUACACAGUUCUAAAUCUGAGUUGGUACGAUGCUACUCAUCCGUAAAUGAAACAACAAUUAGCUGUAUAAUGAGAAAGAACCCAACUUCAACAGGAGGUGAAAUGCAGAAACAAACACCAGCAACAGCUCAAGCUAAUCUAGUAGACCAAUUGAAAUUCAAAUUUGUCUUCUUCACAGUAACCAAGUACCAUGGAGAUGAACAUUCAACAAUGAACACCUAAGUUUAUAGGGCGUCAAAUAGUAACUCUCCUAUCAAGAAGUACGGAAAACCAUGAACAGGAAGGAAAUAUCAGCAAACUACAGGUUGCAGCAAAACGAUUUUCCCUCCCCAUCAAUUGAUUCAAUCAAUAAACUUCAAGUUACAACAAAACAAAGCAGCAGCAAAACCAACAUAAUUCAAUACUAAAACGAAGAGAGAGAGGAGAAGAAAGAAAAAACUAACCUUCCAUCCAACCAACGUCAAUGGAGAUGGCAACUAACCUUCAAGGCGCCGACUUUCUCCUUCAAGGCGUUGACUUCUUCUCUCAUUUUCGACAUUUGUGACUGGGAUUCGUUAUUAUUGAGAAAAAUGCGGC